rnacentral:tRNA from 1 species
GGGGCUGUAGCUCAGUUGGGAGAGCGUCGCACUUGCACUGCGAAGGUCGCAGGUUCAAUCCCUGUCAGCUCCACAA